CUACGGGAUGCACCAGUGGGGAAUAUUGCACAAUGGAGGGAACUCUGAUGCAGCAACGCCGCGUGGAGGAUGACACAUUUCGGUGCGUAAACUCCUUUUAUAUAAGAAGAUAAUGACGGUAUUAUAUGAAUAAGCACCGGCUAACUCCGUGCCAGCAGCCGCGGUAAUACGGGGGGUGCAAGCGUUACUCGGAAUCACUGGGCGUAAAGAGCAUGUAGGCUGGUUUGUAAGUUGGAAGUGAAAUCCUAUGGCUUAACCAUAGAACUGCUUCCAAAACUACUUACCUAGAGUAUGGGAGAGGUAGAUGGAAUUUCUGGUGUAGGGGUAAAAUCCGUAGAGAUCAGAAGGAAUACCGAUUGCGAAGGCGAUCUACUGGCACAUUACUGACGCUCAGAUGCGAAAGCGUGGGGAGCAAACAGGAUUAGAUACCCUCGUAGUC
rnacentral:rRNA from 1 species